AUUUGAGUAAAGAGCUGCAGGAUGAGCGCACACUGAGUGGAGACUGCUGAUGUGCGUGGAGGAGUGUUCAGCAGAUCAGACAGCUGUGCAAAGGCAGGAGGUUAUUUACCCAACAGUGAGCACGCUGUCGAGGCGAUGCUGGCUGCGGCAAGCAUUGGUGCCAUCUGGAGCUCCACGUCCCCAGACUUCGGUGUGAAUGGUGUGCUGGACCGGUUUUCUCAAAUUCAGCCAAAGCUCAUCUUCUCUGUGGAGGCUGUUGUCUAUAAUGGCAAAGAGCACAACCACAUGGAAAAGCUGCAGCAGGUGGUUAAAGGCCUACCAGACUUGAAGAAAGUGGUGGUGAUUCCUUACGUGUCCUCCAGAGAGAACAUAGACCUUUCAAAGAUUCCAAACAGUGUGUUUCUGGAUGACUUUCUUGCCACCGGCACC
rnacentral:sRNA from 1 species